rnacentral:rRNA from 2 species
UACCCGCAGCACAAGUGGUGGUCAUUAUUAUUGGGCCUAAAGCGUCCGUAGCUGGCCUGUUAGAUGCCUGGGUAAAUCGAUGCGCUCAACGUAUCGAACUCCGGGUAGACCGGCAGGCUUGGGACCGGGAGAGAUGUGAGCUACUCGAGGGGUAGGGGUAAAAUCCUGUAAUCCUUCGGGGAGGACCAGUGGCGAAGGCGUCACAUUAGAACGGCUCCGACAGUGAGGGACGAAGCCCUGGGGCGCAAACCGG